AAUGGCACUUGCGUAAUUUCGUUUGUAAAUAAUUUGGCAGGCGGUAUUGCUGUGAAUGGAUCUUAAACACUGACAGCUAUAAGAGGAACGUUGGGUUUCUUGAUUUUUGUACCAUCGGCUCUCGUCCGUUCUUGUUGUCGGGUCUAUCCUUAGACAAUUUUCACGUCAAUGCAGUGAUUGCUUCGAUGGGGGUUUUCUGAUAUUGUGCACGAGAUCGGAGGAGCCAUGGCUUCGAUUUUGCCAUCUGAAAUCAGUAGACCGAAGAUCAAUGUUCCCAGAAUCGGUGCUGUGGUCCCUCCAAAUCCUAGAAUCCGAUGCAAGGAUUAUGUUCAGGAUUGUUGUUCCUCUCAUCUGGAGGUUCAGAACCAGGCCAACUUCGAACGCAGCGGUGUUCCAUCAAGAUUCAUGUUCUAUAGAGAUGGUUCCUGGGUUGAUUUCCCAAGCCAGGUGUUGGAGAAUGUGAGACCGGGUUUCUUGGAGCGCAAGACUACGAUGGAUGUUUCGAUCGAUGGCUCAGAGUAUCGUUUCGAUUUUCUGAGAAUGUUGCAGAUCGAUAUCUUGACGGGUAAGGGAAGAUCGAUUGCUUGGAUUGAUGCGAAUGGGAAGUGUUUCUUUCCGAAAUUAUUCGUUAGCGAAGAGGCUGCCGAUGGAUCGGAAAAUCUGAAUACGAAGAGUAAAAUAAGAUUCGGUGAAUACUUUGGAAAGAGGAAGAGGGAGAGAUUGGAAUCUCAGGAAGAAAGCGAGGGAAAUUCGUCAACUAAUCGAGAAGCUGUGUCGAGACGGUGGAAUUCAAAUGAUCAAGAAGCUGUAUCAAAACGACAGCGUAUUCAAACAACAUGUGAUUCAGAGACAUGUAAGUGGCCGAACGUGAAAUUGAUGAAAAAAGGAGGCAGACCGUAUGCAAUGGCCGAGAAGUUCUUUUUGUCUCGGUUAAAAGACACUGAUCCAGCUGUGAGAGUAACCGCAAUUCAUCAGUGUACGUGGAAGGGUCCUCUGGAAAAAGCACGGUGGGAUGUUUUUCAUAAGCAGAUGGAGAGGACAAAGGCUGCCCAAGGGAUCUGCAAUACCACAUUUGCUUGGCAUGGGACGUCGGCCAAAACCGUAGCCAGCAUUUUAACAUAUGGCUUUGGGGUGCGGAGCCAGAUUGAUGGAUCUGAACCACAUGGGUUUGGUAUAUACCUGUCUUCUGUGCGUUUACCGCAUAUAAGUGCUAUGAUGUCCGAGGCAGAUGAUAAUGAAGAAAAGCAUGUAUUACUGUGCCGAGUAAUAUUAGGUAAUGUUGAAAUGGUUGAGGAUGGACCGCUUCCUUCUAGUGUGAAUUUUGACACUGGUGUGGAUAAUAUUGAGAAUCCUACUUGGUAUGUGGUAAAGUGGGCCAAUAUGAACACUCACAUUCUUCCCCAGUGUGUUGUGAGCUACAAGUCUUCCCAUAAUGCAUCAGGACAAAUGAGACCGUUAGCAUUUCUGAAGUGGGUUCCAUAUUCGUCAAAUGCAUUUGUUGUGAAAUUGUUUUCCAAGUUGGAGAUUUUGCUUCCUUCUGAAAAAGUUCAGGAAUUGGAGUCUUGGUGCAAAACAUACAAGGAUGGCAAGCUGCCCAAAGUGCAAGCAACAUCUCCAUCCUGGUUAUCAUUAAGUUAUUGGUGACUGUGAAACUGGCCCUCAGUAAAUAUAACAGGGACAUCAAACCACCAGCGGCUGCUGCUGCUGCUGCACCAUACACUGUCCAUUGGUUAACAUGAGCCGUUUUCCAAUCCUGUUUCAUCUCAAUUAUACAACACUUUGCAGCCCAGUGGUGCCAUUAGCUGUCCCCAGUUGUCACUGCUUGAUUAUAUCAUCCAAGAUAUUAUAUCUAACAGCAUCGCCCUCCAUCUUUAUCUAUUGUCAUACUACAAUCUUAUUUAUUGUUGCACUACAAUCUGCUCACAUUUCUGCUUAUUUGCCAAGGUGCUUUGGUUGUUCUCUUUGGAGGAUCAACUGUUUUGUAGAUCAUCAUAAUUACCAUGAAGAUUGGGCCAAACCUUUGACAUUGUGAUCUGGCAUUUGGAAAGUGCUUCUGAUGCUCUAGAUUUGAUGGAGAUGAUGUGUGUACUUCAAAUGUUUUUUUAUUAACUUAUAAACUCAACAGCACAACAAAGCCUCAAUCUGGGAAACCAUGUGGAGCGAGAGUCGCUCAGGUCUUCCGGUUGACCUUGCCCAGACACAGUGCGAGUGCCUGGAGGGGGGCUGACAAAAGCAAGCUCACAUUUGUGAGCAUUACCGUUCCUGAAAAGCGUUUUUGGGAAAGUUAAUGUGCAUACGUUAUUCCAUUAAUACCUAACGGUUGUGCGUGUAAUUGAGGAACUGAAGGGCAGUUGCAAGAGCCUAUAAAAGAGCCGAAGGCAGGACGAAGGGGAUAUUCUGAACUCUGUAUGCAUUAAGUCUUUUUGCAGGAAAGCACUGACUUAACCUUUGGGGAAUCGCCUAGCCUUUUCUGCAAGAUCCAAUAGAUCAUAUGCAAUCUUAAAUUCCCUAGUUAAUUUUUCAUCUUAAAGCUUCCAAAUGAUAAAAUAUCUGGAAUUUGGAAAAGAGCCAUUUGAUUUUGUGACUCCUAUUAGUCAAAUAUUAGAAAAUUUUCUGAAACAAUUGAAUGAAUUAUUUGAUGAUUCCACAAUAUUGCAUCAAACAUAUUAAAUUUUCAGUCAAGUGGAUGAGUUUAAUCAUCUAAUUCCUUUUGUAAUUUUGUUUAUCAUCUACAAUGGUGUUGCUUAGCAUACUUUCAAAUAUUUCUGGGAUCGAUAAUUUCAUAUUGUAAUAAUGCAUAAAACGUAAGAUCUCCUUUUCAAGCACCAUUGCAUGACUUAGGGGUUUCUCAUACUAUAUUUGACAUGUAUUUGUAAUUCUGUGGCUUUCUUUCUGACCUGUUUUCAAGUCGGCUUUUGUCUUAGUAGCUAGUUGGCGACUUGAUGGCAAAGGAUGCUGAAUUGUCAGUCUGGACGGUUGAGUAAUGUAAAUAAAUAAGCAUUUUAAAGCUCGACUGGCGAUGAUUUUGUCUUUCUGGAAUCUGAAUGAGACUGCUAGGAAUGCUGUUGCUCGUCUGCUUGAGGUGGAAGGUAUUGAUGAAACUCCUCUAUUUUUAGACCAUCAAAAUAUGUCUAUUUCAAAUACCCGUACUUCAAGCCUAGACCUUCUUUUGAAAUGCAAUAUUAUAUAUGGUUUUAUUUAAAUUUAUUUUCCUUUUUUUUUUU